rnacentral:rRNA from 1 species
GAUGAACGCUGGCGGCGUGCUUAACACAUGCAAGUCGAACGAUGAUGCACCGCUUGCGGUGUGGAUUAGUGGCGAACGGGUGAGUAACACGUGAGUAACCUGCCCUUGACUCUGGGAUAAGCCUGGGAAACUGGGUCUAAUACCGGAUAUGACCUUUCACCGCAUGGUGGGGGGUGGAAAGCUUUUGUGGUUUUGGAUGGACUCGCGGCCUAUCAGCUUGUUGGUGGGGUAAUGGCCUACCAAGGCGAUGACGGGUAGCCGGCCUGAGAGGGUGACCGACCACACGGGGACUGAGACACGGCCCAGACUCCUACGGGAGGCAGCAGUGGGGAAUAUUGCACAAUGGGCGGAAGCCUGAUGCAGCGACGCCGCGUGAGGGAUGACGGCCUUCGGGUUGUAAACCUCUUUCAGUAGGGGAGAAGCGAAAGUGACGGUACCUGCAGAAGAAGCGCCGGCUAACUACGUGCCAGCAGCCGCCGUAA